rnacentral:tRNA from 1 species
GGAGGGGUGGCUGAGCGGUUGAAAGCACUGGUCUUGAAAACCAGCGAGGGUUUACGCCCUCCCAGGGUUCGAAUCCCUGCUCCUCCGCCA